CAAUAUAAAAUUGCAAAUCAUGAAAAUGUCAACUGAGAAAAAGAAAGACCUAAUAAAAAAUCGGAAAUUAGAAGGGAUGACCCUUUGAUUGGUAAUGAAGUGUUGUGAAAUGGAGUUCAAACAAAUGGAAAAAUUAGAUUUGGCAA
rnacentral:lncRNA from 1 species